rnacentral:rRNA from 1 species
AUUGAACGCUGGCGGCAGGCCUAACACAUGCAAGUCGAGCGGAUGAAGGCCCCUCGCUCCUGGAUUCAGCGGCGCACUGGUGCGUAAUGCCUCGUCAUCUGCCUGGUAGCGGGCUAUACCGCCCGCCAACGGGCCGUAAUACACCAUACGUCCGUCCGUGGAAAGUGGGGGAUCUUCGGACCUCACGCUAUCACAUGCACCUAGGUCGGAUUCUCUACUUGGGGGCGUGCAGGCCUACCAAGCAGAACAUCCGUAACUGGUCUGAGAGGAUGAUCAGUCCCACUGUGACUGAGACACGGUCCGUACGCCUACGCGCGCACGCAGUGGGUGAUAUUGGACAAUGGGCGAAAGCCUGAUCCAGCCAUGCCGCGUGUGUGAAGAAGUGCGUCGGAUUGUAAAGCACUUUAAGUUGGGAGGAAGGGGAGUAAGUUAAUACCUUGCUGUUUUGACGUUACCAACAGAAUAAGCACCGGCUAACUUCGUG